UAUCACUAACAUCGAUGUUUUUCUCGAUAGUCUGGUAAUGUGCAGUACAUUUAGACAUAUGAAAAAUGUUAGAGGGAACUACCUAUAAUCUGUGCACAUUACCAAACUAUCUUUAUUGUUAUGUUGAUUUGUAUUGAAGAACAGGACACCGAAGUUUGGACAAAAACACGAAUUGUAUGGAUGAGAGAACAGCUUUUGAAAAAUGAAAAUUGGUUAAUAAAAAGAAAAUGCGAAAUAUGCAUCGGAUGUUGGAGGGAAAUAUUGUAAUUGUUGAUUUGCAUUGAAGAACAGGACACCGGAAGCUUGGACAGAAACACGAAUUGUAUUGCCAUGGAUGGGAGAAAAACUCUUGAAAAAUGAAAAUUGGAUAAUAAAAAGAAAAUGCGAAAUAUGCAUCGGAUGUUGGAGGGAAAUUUUGUAAUUGUUGAUUUGUAUUGAAGAACAGGACACCGGAAGCUUGGACAGAAACACGAAUUGUAUUGCCAUGGAUGGGAUAAUAAAAACAAAAUACGAAAUAUGCAUCGGAUUCUCUUCAAAUGUUACGCAUCCUAAUAUUGAUGACACAUGAUCGGUGUGAAAAUGGGAUAUAUGUUCAACCUCCUCCACAACGAGUCAGCAUUUUGAUUAACAGAGCGGUGAUAAAAAGCAUUGAAGAACAAGACACCUGGAGCUUAGAAACUUGAAAAUUGCACAAUGAAAACAAAAUGCGAAAUAUGCAUCGGAUUCUCUUUAUUUUACGCAUCCCAAUAUUGAUGACACAUGAUCGGUGUGAAGAUGGGAUAUAUAUAGAACUAAAUGGUAAUAAAAGGCAAAAUAAGCAUCCGAAUCUCUUCAAAUUUUACACUUCGGAACAACAAGAUGUGGUAUGAAGAUGUUGGAUAUUGGUCUUAUUCUGGUACCUCCGCCACAAAUGAUCACAAUUUUAAAUACUUAUAGCUCUCAUAACAUGCGGAACAAGUCAGUGAUUCUAUGUGAACUUGGUAUAUUAAAAUAUUUCUGUCAACCAGAGAUCAAUAGUGGAAUUUUGUUUUGAGUUACCGACAAAAGUCAGUGAAAUUGAAAUGCUUAUAAUGUCGGUAAUUACGAGUUUUUUUUCGGAAAGUUAGCGAUGAAAUCAAAGUAGUAUGUAAGACCUACCAAUGUUGUCAACUUUAACUUAUUGUUUAUAUCCAGAUUUUGGAUUUCGAAGUUAAAGAUUUUUGUCGGUAACUCAAAAAAUGAGUUAGAGAAUCCCACUAUUGAUGUGAAUAUAAGAUUUAUCAGCCUUUUGCUAUGUCCGCCACAAAAAAUUUAAAUCUAUAAAUAUAAGCAUAAAAUUGAUAAUAAAUGUUCGUUUUUCUUUAAAGUUUGCACUAUUCUUAUCCAUAUUGGAUUAGGUGGGACACUUCGGCCAACUAUGUAUGUUACAUCCAGCACAUUUCAACAUUUUCGACAAUUAUCACAUAUCUAUCUUAUGUGUAGUAGAGGAAGUACUCAAUGUAUGCUCUGUUACAGAAAUGCAAGGAUUUAAAACUAUUUAAUAAGAUAACUAAUUUUCCUUUGAGGUAUUGAAAAAAAGCAAAAACCAGUAAAUGAUUGCUGGGUUUGGAACAGACAAAAAGUCCAAAUCUGGCACGUUGUUAGGAUAAUAUUGUCCUAUUCUUUCGGAACCUUUCCAAGUCAAGCAUGUUGAAAUAUGUAUUUGAGUAAACGGACAUUGAGGGUAUACAUCUGUCCAUAGAACCGACUGAUACUUUUUAACUUGUUUUUUAUAUUGCACACAAUUUUUUCAAUUUGAUAUACCAAAUCGUAUAUUGUACAUUUUGUAUUUUUUAAGUCUUUUCGCAAAAGUGUAGAAAAUCAAAUUAGU